UCAUCCAUGAAGACCUCCAUGAU
rnacentral:siRNA from 1 species